rnacentral:lncRNA from 1 species
CAGAGGGGUCUGAGUGGGAAGAGACAGAGGUGGUGGGAGCAGUGGGCUCUGCCUGUCCCCACCCCCACCUGGGGCCUCAUACCAUCCCACUAUCAUGGGUAGUGCCUACCACUGGGAGGCCCGGCGCCGGCAGAUGGCUUUGGACCGAAGGAGAUGGCUGAUGGCCCAGCAGCAGCAGGAGCUGCAGCAGAAAGAACAGGAACUGAAGAAUCACCAGGAGGAAGAACAACAAUCGGAGGAAAAACUCCAGCCACCUAAGAAGUUAAAUGUGCCGCAACCACCAGUGGUGAAAUUGUGGACAUCACAGGAGCAACCACAGCCAUCACAGCAGCAGCCAUCAGUGCAGCCACCAUCGCAACCACCACCACAGCCAUCAACAUUGCCACAGGCACAGGUGUGGCCAGGGCCACAGCCACCACCUCAGCCAACACAACCAAGUGCUCAAGCCCGUUGUACUCAGCACACCUCCAAAUGCAAUCUCCAGGAUUCCCAAAGGCCAGGUCACCAGCCUACUUCAGCGGGGAUCUACUAAGCUGGAGGGCAAUCUCUGUAUCAACAACAGAUUCCAGGGUCUCAUGAACCCAUGCCAAUCUAGCCCCAUCAGAAACACUGGGUAUUCACAACUCAAGUCUACCAAUUACAUACAGCAGUGGUGAUCCAGAGAUCGAACCCAGGACCCCAUGGCCAUCCCCAAAAUGCAGAUGAGCAACCACAUCUUCUCAGCAUCCAGCAAUAUCUCCACUCCAAAAGCCACCCACUCUAGAAGAGGAGGCUGCCAGGAAUAAAAUGUAAUUUUUUUCCUGGGAGGAAUCACGGGACCGGACAGCUUUAUGAGACAGGGAUGAGAGGAAGAGGGCAGGACGGCUCACGAAGGGGAUGGAGAGGGUGGAAAGAGAGUGGAAGGCAAGUUUAUGCUUCUCUAGGCAAAGCCAAUGGGAGAACUGGGUCUUGGGUCCCCCCCAAGUAUGCAACUCCUACUACUAUCACUACCUGCCCUCAUUCAGCAGUGAUAAGUCUGUGGGGGGCUUCAGUUUAUGACUGUCACUGGAGCCAUCACCCAUUCCCCCAAGCCCAUGCUUACUGAGAUAUAGCCUGGGGAAGGAGGGGUCGCAUCACAUCAGA